CCACAGGCCUCCCGAGUCCCUCCUCAGUCACCUCAGUGUUGCCAACUUAGGGUGGGUUGCAUCAACAAAUUUUGACGGACACGUAAUCUUUAAAUAUGGCGCUAACGAACGUUAGACAAAAAAAGUGUUGAUUCACCAUCUAUGACCGCUUAGGUUCGUUAAAAACGUUACGUUACGCUUACGUUAACCAGUGCUUGAACCAUUCGUAUUUCGUAAUUGACAAUUGUCAAAUUUUGGUUUGUAACAGGUAACUUCGUAGUUCGUACUUCUUAAACACUGUUUCCUCUGAAUUUAAUAUUAGAGAUGGUUUGAUUAAUAAUUAUUUUGCAAGAUUAUAACUUUUUUAUGGCAUGGGUGGUAUUGUUAAGGACUAACAUAUUCUAUACUGUUUAUAUUGCUUAUUGCAGCUUUUGGUAAAGAAAUAAAAUAUUUGACAAAAAUAAUAUGCCUUUACUAACUGAAUUACUUACAGCCUACAGAUUUUAUUAAUUUAGACCAAAAGUUAACUUCAUUGACAACAAACAGAAAACUAGUUUUCUCUAAAUUUAAUUUUAUUCUAAUAUCAGAGAUACAUAGUUUAAUUAUUAUUAUUUUGCAAGGUAGGUUAAUAUUAAGAUUAUUUUUAACUUCAACAAAAACAAAUCUCAAAUUAUAAUUUUAAAGCUGUCUUAUUUUCAGAUUAUAACUAUUUUAUGGUAUGGAUGUGAAAUAUGGUGCAGGAUUAACAUAUUAUAUACUGUAUAUAUAUAUAUUGCUAUUGCAUGCUUUUGGUGGAGAAAUAAAAAGUUUGACAAAAA